CAAAAUUCCAAAAUUCGUUUUUUGAUUAAAUUCGCGCUAAUCUGGCGUUUGGCCACACUGUGCGACGGCGCCCUGCCAGCCGACCGCGUCCCGCUCGCCGACGGCGUCGAUACGCCGGCGCGCGUAUCGACAUUGAUCAGAAACGAUCACAUUAUGUCCAGGUCAUUAGUCGCGGGCGCUCGAGCUGACGGUGUCGUCUGACGGCUCCACGGUGACCAGCGCCGCCUCCGCCGAGAACAUCCGACUCCUGAAAUGCUAAUGGUCGUACACGAACAAGAGGCUCUAAACAUCCAGGUGCAGGAUAAGCGCCAUGCUCAGAGGCGUCAUCUGGAGAAGGCCGCACAGUGCACUUAAGGCUGAGCUCGGGUGUAGUGCGCGCAGACAGAUAUGAUCAACUGACGGGCCGGCCAUCAGAUUUCAGUACGGAACUCAAGAUGAUUGGAGCCGACGUGGUUCGGUUGAUGGUGUGUCAGGGUUGAUUGAGAGUGGAGGCGAGACACCCGGAUCUGUGAAUGAUACGCCGAUACGGAUCUCGACGUCGUCUCGCAAUUUGUGCUAUGUAAUAUGACGGCUAUGCCGUGGUAUCAUUCACUCUCGAUGCGCUAAUAAAUAAUAAAUAGGACAGAGAUUGGAAUUAAGAUUAUUAUAUUUGGAUGUAAGGGGCAGGUUUUGGCCAGCGCUAUAUUAGAAAUCGUGAGCGUGCUAGUUGCAAUCAAUCGCGCGCUUCUUGCUGAGCAUCUGUGAGCGAGAAAAUACUUUCUCUGGAACGUUCGUCGUAAAGUAUCUUUGGAAUAAGUUGUCAGAACAUGAAUGCAUUUUUGGUGUCCACUGCAGCUGCUGUUCUGGAACAGAAAUAUGCCGAGAUCGGCUGUGUAGGUAUGUACUAUGUACGCUGUGGCAAAAUCAAGCAGCCGUACCAUGAAUCAAAAGCGAUAUGUGAAUUAAAGUGGAUAUAUUUCA